GGAUGUGAGGGUGAUCUGGCUGUGACAUCUGUCACCCCAUUGAUCACCAGGGUUGAUUUGGCUGAUCUGCUGCAUAGGUUGGUGUCCCCUUCCUCCCUCACCACUGCCCCAUGUGUGUCCCUCCUAAAGCUGCAUGUUUGGUUGAAGAGGACAACCUUCCCUGAAUAAAGGAAGACUGUCUUCGGUCAAGGGUAUGCAUAGCUGUGUGCCCCCGCUAGAACCUCUAAACAAAGCUCUCAUUACUGGGGAUAAAAAGUUGACAAUUUUAAAUAUACUAGCUACAAUAUGUUUAUCAUCUCUAAGAAAUUUAUUAUUG
rnacentral:snRNA from 1 species